rnacentral:rRNA from 1 species
UAUAUACACAUCAGGAAUCAAGAGAAGCAUCAAGAUAAAAAAACAAGGAAAAAACAAGAUAAAGGAAGAGAAAUUGCAGAACCUACGAUGUUAGUAAAGUAAAUAAAAAGAAUUAAACAUAUUUUAAGAUUUAUAUAUCAUUUUGUUUCGAUUUAAAAUGUUUAGAGUAUAUAUACCCUUUAAAGAUUAUGCAUAGUUGGUUCAUUUUAAUCAUUGAAAUUUUUUUUUUGUGGGAAGAAUAGCAGUCAAUUUAACCCAGGAAUUGUACAAUGACACUCAGUCUCAGAAAACACACAGAACUAGAAAGAACAAGACAAUUUCUGCAAUGAUGUCACACAUAGUAAUUUUGUUAUCUAGGAUCUUCUGGUAGGUUUUGGGUUUGGAGAACACCAAAGACUAGAAGGAAAACAGCCCCUGGUAAUGGGUCCAUGACGGUGAAGACAUUGAAGAAGUUACUCCUAUACUGGGAAAUCAAAAAAAAAAUGUGAAAGCAUAAUGAUUAAAAAGAUUAACAAGAAAGCUGAGACAGGAGAAGAGCACAGCGGAUUAGCUGAACCACAGAGUGAGGGCUGAAUAGUCACUUAACAAGGACUGACCCAGACUCACGUAUAGACCAGGAGUCAGACGUAAUGAUCAAUGUUGUCUAUUUGUGCAUAAUUUUGCAUAAUUUUCUCUUUUCUUUUGAAAACCUGUAUUUUCAAAAAUUUAUUUAAACCAAUUUAAACUACACCAUUUAUAUAUGUAUUUAUAUCUUUGUGUGUGAAUAAGUUUUUAUAAUAAUAAUUAUUGAGUGAGAGUUUGAUGCCAUACGACAGAAACAACACUUGGGGCAACAAUGUAGGGAUUCAAGAUGUUGACAUAGAGAAAAUUAAGGUGCGGAUAGGGUUGUUAAUACCAUCUAGUGGCUGGUUCCUGUUGAAGUUUCCUCAGGAUAGCCGGUGCUCAUUAACAAAUUUCAUACGGUAAAGGGUAUGAUUAGAAGCAUUGGGGGCAAAAUGCUCUCAACUUAUUCUCAAACUUUAAAUGGGUGAUAAGUCUGUGUUGCUUGAAUAAACUCGGACACUGUAUUGGAGUGCCUAGUGGGCCAUUUUUGGUAAGCAGAACUGGUGCUGCAGAAUGAAUCGAACGCAAGGUUAAAGUGCCCAAAUGGAAGCUCAUCAGACCCCACAAAAGGUGUUGGUUGAUUAAGACAGCAAGACGGUGGCCAUGGAAGUCAGAAGGAGUGUGUAACAACUCCCUGCCAAACCAUAAAAACGGCUACCACAUCCAAGGAAGGCAGCAGGGUAACAACUCACCUGCCGAAGCAACCAGCCCUGAAAAUGGAUGGCGCUUAAGCUUCCUACUUAUACCUUGCCAUUGAGCCAGAGCAGGUCCUUGUGACCCUGAAGACUCAACAAGUAGGCAGGUCAAACCGGUGGUGAGGAAGGCUCUGGGAGUGAUCCUGACUGGAGCUGCCAGUUGUGCAUAUCUUGGUGGUAGUAGCAAAUACUCCAGGGAGGCCCUGGAGGACCGAUGUGGAGAUGGGUUUCGUGUGAACAGCCGUGGAACAUGAGUCAGUUGAUCCUAAGGCAUAGUGGAAGCAUUGUUCAAUGGAGCAGUGAUCUAUGGUCGUACAGAUAGAGCCAUGCCCAGGUGAGCAUCAGGUGGGACCUUGAAAAUCAAGCUCAGGGCUUCAGCGAUUCGCACCAGCUCGUACCCAUAUCCACAUCAGGUCUCCUAGGUAAUCAGCCUCUGGUGGAUAGAAUAAUGUAGGUAAGGGAAGUCAGCAAAUUGGUUCCAUAACUUAGGGAAAAGCAAUGGCUCUGAAAGCUAGGGUGUUUGGGCUUAGUGCAGGAAGCAGUCGGCUUCUCAGUGGGCCUGACCAAGCCUUCGUGAUGAAGUCGGUCCCAUUCUCAAGCUACUGUGGAGUGCCUUUGCUUCGCGGUUCUGGUCAACAAUUAAUGGCUAAUUCAGAACUGGCACAGACAAGGGGAAUCCGACUGUUUAUUAAAACAAAGCAUUGCAAUGGUCAGAGAGUGAUGUUAAUGCAAUGUGAUUUCUGCCCAGUGCUCUGAAUGUCAAAGUUAAGAGGUUCAUGACUGGAGUGGUUACGGAAGUUCUGAGAGAAUAUUGGAAAGAAGUAUUCGAUAGAACCCCAGUGUGAAAUCUUUGAAAGCAAGACCAAACAUCCCACUCUUUAUGGUCAAUAACUAAGAAAAAAGUUGGGGAAGGAUUGAAGGCCCUCAAAACCAAGUCAGCAGCAGGAGUUGAUGGGGUAACUUGUGCAGAUCUAAGAAAGGCUAAAGUUUGAAAGAUUGUAACACUCUUUCGAAUAUUGAUGGCAUUGCAGAGAACAUAUGGAUAGUCUCUGAAUUGCAAGAACUGGCAAAGAAAAACAAAAGAGGAAUUGCGUUAAUUUUCCUGGAUGUUUCCAAAGCAUUUGACUCAAUUGGACAUCUGAUUACCCAGCAGGUGGCAGAGAGAUUACGAGUUCCUAAGGAUAUCAGAAAAUACUGUGUUAUACUCCUUCUCAAAACUGGUGUUUAAAGGAUUCACACUGAAAUUCAAACAGAAUGGAGGAAUAAGACAAGGUGACCAAAUGUCAGGUCCUUUGUUUAAUGGAAUGGUGGAUCUAGGUAAUGAAGACCUAGAUCAGAACCUGCAGUAUAUAAUUAAUGAGGAAGUUGGAAUAGCAGAAGGAUUAUUUGCAGAUGAUGAGUUCCUAGCAGCAGAGGGUACAAUGGCCCUCCAUUACCAGGUAGACUGAUCAAUACCAAGAUAUAGGAAGUGUGGGCUCCAGAUGAAUGCGGGCAAAUAUUAAUCGAUCAUAAUUGUAUACAACGCUCAGACUAAGAAGUACAUGGUGAGCAGUUAUUUCCAUAUAAUACCAGUUAUUUUGAUAAAUGGUGAUUUGGUACCCCUUUUUUCUCUCUUGAGGAGACCUGCAAGUAUCUGGAGGUCAAACUUGGUGCAGGAACUCCCAAGGAUAAGGAUAUUCUUGAUUCCUUGAGAGUGAAGCUAGAAAGAGUGGAUAAGUCUUGUCUGAAGCCACAACAGAGGCUGAUGGCACUGAUGUGACACAUUGUGCUGUCUCUUUAUCAUGUGCAGCAAGAGAGCCAGAUAAAGUCUAUUGACACUAGACAGGAAUUUUCAAUUUUUUGU